CCUCCACUUACGUCAACUAACCGACAACCAUGAGAUCGACCGUCGUAAGGCUACAGACACUGCCAGCCAUGUCCUGCCUCUUAAACAAAACAAAAAAUUACUGUUUUUAGCAUUUUAACGCACACGCCAAGAGCAGACUUAUUGCUCUAUUUUUCUAGGGAUAUAAGCGUCAUUUUUUUUAAAUAAUAAGGAUAAACAAUGUCUUCCCGCACGCAGGAGAGGAGGUCUGGCGUUCAGCUGGUGAGCGCGGCGCUGCUGCUGCUCUCGCUCUCCGGUGUUUCAAGCAUGGAUGUGCUCAUUCCAAAUAACAUUAAUGCACUGAAUGGAACAACUAUCAAAAUCCCCUGCACAUUUACUUCCUGCUAUAAGAUGGAUGUUAGCAGGUUUGCCAUGAACUGGACCUACCAAGAAACACUUAAUGAUACAGAAGACAUGUUUAUGACAUUCAAUAAGAAGAGAGGAAUGGUGCCUCUGCUUUCAGACCGGUUUGGCGACAGGGUGAUGUUUGCUGGAAACCUAGAUAAAAACGACCUGUCAAUCACCUUAUCAAAUGUUCAGAUCGAGGAUGAGGGGAUUUACAACUGCUAUGUGAGAAACCCCCCAGACCGCAUACAGGGACAUGGUGUCAUACAGCUCAUUGUCGUGACUGAACUUCCCCCUCCGAGGGAUUCAACCAUCGCAGUGGCGAUUGGGGCAUCAGUGGGUGGAGCAUUAGCUCUGCUGAUCCUUUCCAUGGUUGUAGUGAAAUGUCUUCGUCGACACAGGAAACAGGAACUGAUUUCAGAGGAGAAGAUGGAGGAGGAGGGAAAACUGGAGGCUGAAGGUGUUGCAGAGGAGGGAACCAAACAACCAUAGCUGGGUCAUCUGAUUGAACCAACGGCUUGUGGAGCUCUCACCCCCAACAUCUUGACAUGUGCACCCCCUUCCUGAAGAUCUAUAGUAACUACUGAUUUGAUCAUUGUCCACCGAUACCGUGUGUGUGUGUGUGCGUGUGCGUGUGUGUGUGUGUGCGUGUGUGCCAGUGCAGGCAUGUGUGCUUCUUUGUACAGUAUGUGUGUGUACUGAUGCGUAUUUCUAUAGGUCUGUGUGAGAUGUGUCUUUUUCCUCUAAAUAAGCCAGUGGACUCUUUUCUGCAACCUAACCAUUAAACACAAAUUACUUCAUUCAGUGGCAUUAGAAGUAGAUCUCAUAAUAACAAAUGGCAUUUUCAUUGCACACUAUAGGACAGGGUAGGGUUGGGCGUUAUGACCUAAAAUGUAUACCACAGUUUAAUUUUAAUAUAAAACGGUAACAAUAUCACAGCAUCACAAUAUCUAAUUGCAUUGCCUGUAGUUAAAUCUAUUAUUAAUAACGUUACUAGUGGCUACGGAGGCAGAGCUGCGUACUUGAUGGAAGUUAAAACCUGCACACUGCAUAGUAAAUGUUAAGUGUAUAUCUGUUAUGUGAUGGUAAAUUGUGCUGUUUGCGCCACAGUCUCACAACAGCUUUUUUUGUGGGGGUGAAAUAUUUUGGUUUAACAUACUGUGAAUCCAGUGUCUUGCAACGUUGCCUUAAAGCAAUGUCUCUCAACUGCCUUUAUAGGCACCAUGUCUUACCAUUGGGGCACAGUUGGUGCAUGUGUAUGUCCUUUCACCAUUGACGUUUCUUAUCUAGAGACAACUGAUUGUCAGUAACUCAACUAAAUGAUGUUUACUGUACAUGUCUCAAUGAUUAGCCAAAAAGCAUUCUGAAACAUUCCUCAUGUCUGUGCAAUGUUUAAUUACAAAAACUAUUGCCCUGCAACAGAAUCUGUUACUGUACUUUGCUUAAUAGACCUGUUUUCACAGCAAAGCACAGGUGUACUACUAACAUUAACAAUGGUUCUGUUCUGUUCAAGCCAAGACAGCAGCUGUGUCCGAAAACACUCCCUAUUUAUCAUAUAGUGCACUAUAUUUACCCUCCGCCAUUUUCUGAAUUUUGAGGUGCUCUCAAAAAUUCAAUAUCGCUAUGGAACAAAAAAGUACUUUGUUUGGCUUUAUGAAGUUGUGAAAAUUAUAGUCCCAUGAUAUUACUCAGUGGUAACACAAAAUUAGCAUGAAGUGUCUGAAAUUUUAUAUUUGGAGUAGUGAAUAAACAAGGGUUUUCAGACAGAGCCAGUGUGACAGAGAGCCAGCAUGAACAAUACCAGUUCCCUGGCUGAAACGGAAAAAGCUAAAUGGAAUUCAGCCAUCAUUAAUGUUAGUAUUUACACAAAAUUUACACAAGUUUUUCUAUUUUGACCUGUCAAAAUGCCUUCUGGCAGUUGAAGCAACAUGUUUUACAUAAUCUCUUUAUUUUUUGGCCCUGCCUAUGUCUUCUGUAUGUCUUUAUGUCUUCAUCCACUUUUUGGUAGCAUGCACAAAGAUUUAUUUUAGUGUAAAACGGGAUUGGUAGGCUUGUGUU